GUGUUGGGACAGCCCUGUGGGUUCCUAGGGGUGAAUCAGUCCAGGAAGAGGAAGCCCGAGCACAGAGCAUGAAUGGAAACUGCUCCCAGUGCCUACAGAAAGCUAUUUUGGGUGAAGAUACAGUGUCCUGACACCUCUCUUUCUGAAAACUCCACACAGCUACUGAAAUGAACAUUUCCAUCUCCAUGGGCUCACAGACCACUGAGUAACAGAAAACACUGUUGUAUUUCUGCCGACCAGCAUUUGGAAGCAGCCAGUCCUUCAAUCCCAGCCUACUCCAGUCCUCCUUGAGGAAAGAGUCACGGAUCACUCACUCGUCCCUGCCGUCCUCUGACUACCGUAAGGUCUCGCCCAGGGAGAAAAACCUCAACUGGAAUCACAGUGUUGCCAUUUCUGUUGGAUCCGAGGUGGUUUUGCAUCGAUUGGCAGUCCAGCAGUUUGUGCCCGGUGCCCAGAUCUGGAGACAACAAAAACAAUAACUUUUUUUUCCCAAAUAUCUUUUUGUGUAUGGGUAUUUUGCCUGAAUGCUUGUACGUGUACCACGUGCAUGUCUGGUGCCCGCAGAGGCUAGAAGAGGGGACAUCGGAUCUGGACCUCGAGCUACAGAUGGUUGUGAGUUGAUAUUUGGGACUCAGUACUCCAUCCUCUGUAAGUGCGCCUAACCACUGAGCUACCUUUCCAGUCCCUAGAAUGGUUCUUCUUGUUGUUGUUGUUUAAAUAAUAGGUCCAAAAUGUUGUCUUGGUGCCUCCACCUACAUCCAG
rnacentral:lncRNA from 1 species